rnacentral:rRNA from 1 species
CUAAGAAUCUUCCGCAAUGGGCGAAAGCCUGACGGAGCGACGCCGCGUGAACGAAGAAGGCCGUGAGGUUGUAAAGUUCUUUUCGGGAGGGGGAAUGACCGUGGCAGGGAAUGGCCGCGGGAUGACGUGAAUCCCGGAACAAGCCCCGGCUAACUACGUGCCAGCAGCCGCGGUAACACGUAGGGGGCGAGCGUUGUUCGGAAUCAUUGGGCGUAAAGGGCGUGCAGGCGGCACUGCAAGUCCGGCGUGAAAGACCCCGGCCCAACCGGGGGGGUGCGCUGGAAACUGCGGUGCUUGAGUACAGGAGGGGAUGCCGGAAUUCCAGGUGUAGGGGUGAAAUCUGUAGAUAUCUGGAAGAACACCGAUGGCGAAGGCAGGCAUCUGG